rnacentral:rRNA from 1 species
UACGUAGGGUGCAAGCGUUAAUCGGAAUUACUGGGCGUAAAGCGUGCGCAGGCGGUUGUGCAAGACCGAUGUGAAAUCCCCGGGCUUAACCUGAGAACUGCAUUGGUGACUGCACGGCUAGAGUGUGUCAGAGGGGGGUAGAAUUCCACGUGUAGCAGUGAAAUGCGUAGAUAUGUGGAGGAAUACCGAUGGCGAAGGCAGCCCCCUGGGAUAACACUGACGCUCAUGCACGAAAGCGUGGGGAGCAAACAGG